GCUCCUGGCUAAGGAUGAACGCUAGCUACAGGCUUAACACAUGCAAGUCGAGGGGCAUCAGGAAGAAAGCUUGCUUUCUUUGCUGGCGACCGGCGCACGGGUGAGUAACACGUAUCCAACCUGCCCUUUACUCGGGGAUAGCCUUUCGAAAGAAAGAUUAAUACCCGAUAGCAUAAUGAUUCCGCAUGGUUUCAUUAUUAAAGGAUUCCGGUAAAGGAUGGGGAUGCGUUCCAUUAGGUUGUUGGUGAGGUAACCGG
rnacentral:rRNA from 1 species